rnacentral:rRNA from 1 species
CGGUAGAGGGGGCAACCCCUCGAGAGUGGCGAACGGGUGUGUAAUAUAUCGGAACGUGCCCAGUCGUGGGGGAUAACGUAGCGAAAGUUACGCUAAUACCGCAUACGAUCUACGGAUGAAAGCGGGGGAUCGCAAGACCUCGCGCGAUUGGAGCGGCCGAUAUCAGAUUAGGUAGUUGGUGGGGUAAAGGCUCACCAAGCCAACGAUCUGUAGCUGGUCUGAGAGGACGACCAGCCACACUGGAACUGAGACACGGUCCAGACUCCUACGGGAGGCAGCAGUGGGGAAUUUUGGACAAUGGACGCAAGUCUGAUCCAGCCAUUCCGCGUGCAGGAUGAAGGCCCUCGGGUUGUAAACUGCUUUUGUACGGAACGAAAAGGUUUCUAUUAAUACUAGGAGCUCAUGACGGUACCGUAAGAAUAAGCACCGGCUAACUACGUGCCAGCAGCCGCGGUAAUACGUAGGGUGCAAGCGUUAAUCGGAAUUACUGGGCGUAAAGCGUGCGCAGGCGGUUAUGUAAGACAGAGGUGAAAUCCCCGGGCUCAACCUGGGAACUGCCUUUGUGACUGCAUAGCUAGAGUACGGUAGAGGGGGAUGGAAUUCCGCGUGUAGCAGUGAAAUGCGUAGAUAUGCGGAGGAACACCGAUGGCGAAGGCAAUCCCCUGNANCUGUACUGACGCUCAUGCACGAAAGCGUGGGGAGCAAACAGGAUUAGAUACCCUNNAGUCCACGCCCUAAACGAUGUCAACUGGNUNGUUGGGUCUUCACUGACUCAGUAACGAAGCUAACGCGUGAAGUUGACCGCCUGGGGAGUACGGCCGCAAGGUUGAAACUCNAAGGAAUUGACGGGGACCCGCACAAGCGGUGGAUGAUGUGGUUUNANUUCGAUGCNACGCGAAAAANC